rnacentral:rRNA from 1 species
GGACAAUCUGCCCUGAAGAAGAGAAUAAUCCCGGGAAACUGGGGGUAAUGCUCUAUAGUCCGGGAGGACUGGAAUGUUCUCCGGAUGAAAGAUCCGUCGCUUCAGGAUGAGUCUGCGGCCGAUUAGGUAGUUGUUGGGGUAAAAGCCCAACAAGCCUGUAAUCGGUACGGGUUGUGGGAGCAAGAGCCCGGAGAUGGAUUCUGAGACACGAAUCCAGGCCCUACGGGGCGCAGCAGGCGCGAAAACUUUACAAUGCGGGCAACCGUGAUAAGGAAACCCCGAGUGCCACCACAGGGUGGCUGUCCACCAGUGUAAACAACUGGUGAAGAAAGGGCCGGGCAAGACCGGUGCCAGCCGCCGCGGUAAUACCGGCGGCUCGAGUGGUGGCCGCUUUUACUGGGCUUAAAGGGUCCGUAGCUGGAUCUGUGUGUCCCUUGAGAAAUCCAUCGGCUUAACUGAUGGGCGUUCAGGGGAAACUGCAGUUCUAGGGACCGGGAGAGGUGAGAGGUACUGCCGGGGUAGGAGUGAAAUCCUGUAAUCCCGGUGGGACGACCUAUGGCGAAGGCAUCUCACCAGAACGGCUCCGACAGUGAGGGACGAAAGCUGGGGGAGCAAACCGGAUUAGAUACCCGGGUAGUCCCAGCUGUAAACUAUGCGCAUUAGGUGUGUCAGUGACCACGUGUCACUGAGGUGCCGAAGGGAAACCGUGAAAUGCGCCGCCUGGGGAGUACGGUCGCAAGGCUGAAACU